rnacentral:rRNA from 1 species
GUCCACGCCGUAAACGAUGAGUGCUAGAUGCUGUGGGUAUUGACCCCCGCGGUGUCGCAGCUAACGCGUUAAGCACUCCGCCUGGGGAGUACGGCCGCAAGGCUAAAACUCAAAGGAAUUGACGGGGCCCGCACAAGCGGUGGAGCAUGUGGUUCAAUUCGACGCAACGCGCAGAACCUUACCUGGGUUAAAUCCAUUCGAAGCUGCCAGAGAUGGCGGGGUGCCCUUCGGGGAGCGAAUGAGACGGUGCUGCAUGGCUGUCGU